CCAAAAAAAAAAAAAAAAAAAAAAAAGAGCAACACCUAUUAUGAGCCAAACCUAAGGACCCUUUGGUCACACUACCUUCCCUGAGGAAACCCCAAUACACAGGGCAAGUGAAGGCCAAGAGGCGCCAGGUAUGUGACUUCCUCCUCCACUCACUGCCUCUGGCCCCUGGGAGGCCACAGACAGCAGUGAUAAUAUUAAUUUGAACACUGAGCUAUGAAGCCGGGUGUUGGUGCUGCACGCCUUUAAUCCCAGCACUCGGGAGGCAGAGGCAGGCGGAUCUCUGUGAGUUCGAGGCCAGCCUGGUCUGCAGAGCUAGUUCCAGGACAGCCAACAAAACAAUACAGAGAAACCCUGUCUUGAAAAACAAAAAACAAAAACAAACAAACAAGAUUGAGCUAUGUCAGUGCUUGUCUGGAAUUGAAGCAGUUUGGGGGCUCAGUGAGAUAGGAUUGCUGUGAGUUUGGGGCUAGCCUGGGCUACAUAGGGACAUCCUGUUUUUAAAAAAAAACUGAGGGAGAAGGGGAAGAAGGAAGAGGAGAGGGAGGGACAAAGGAACAUGAGAUUGGACUCAUUUGCCUGAACUGGAGACCAGCCUGCCUUCCAUGGCUUUGACAAUGAAAUCCACAAAGUGGGAAUAAAACAAGGCUCCCCUAAGUCACAGAAUCCAAAAGCAGCGAGAGAACUGGGGACAUUGGCUGGGGAAAUGGAGCUGACCCAGUGUGCUGUUCCCUGAGCUGCUCAACGAGCUCUCAAGGUUUCCGGUAAGCCGAGAAGGCUGGAGCCUGAGGUCAUCUUGAAAGCCAGGCCAUCCAUCCAAAUGUGCUCAACCAAACAGGGGUCAGGCCGGGAAGCAAUGAGCCCAAGACCCCUUGCAUAUCAGCCUCCUAGGGAAUCCUGGUCCACCGGGAGCGGAUCGUGAUCCAUUUAUCAAAAAAGAGCACUAGUGGUGCCCUCCUGAAGACAAGUCAGAAGUGUGGGCCAGGAGUCUUGAGUGUUUGUUCUCAGUGAUUUCUCUUCUAGGAACUCAUCCCAAAUACGUAAUUAGACUGCUAAAUGGCCCGUGGGACUAAGAGCGGAAGAGAGGAGACACCCUCAGUGGCCUGACAGGAGGACUGCUCCAUCAGAUUAACUCCAGAUGACAGAAGGCAACUCGGUUCCCUUUAAUGACAUAUAUGGGAGUGCGUUUCAUAGAACAUGGAGUUCAUUGAAAAGGGCAGAUUUUAAAGCAGGAAAUCAAGGGAGCUCCACAUUUCCAAAAGAAGAUGGAAGAGGGCCCAGUCGGUCAAGAGCCAUGCAAGCAUGAAUGAAUUAAGGAAGUCCAUGAACGCCCAAAUAAAAGAAUGACAAAUAUUUAUUUGAAGAACACUCACACGAUGAAGGUGAAGAACAGUCAUAGUCCUCUGCCCCUGGAGGCGCAGGAUGCUUCGAUGCAGGUCUCAGACCACCACCCAAGAGAGAGGGGCGGAGCUUACUCCCAGUCCACCCCGUAUCACCAGAGCCCUCGCUCCUUCAAGGGGCCAGAACCUCAGAGACCAUUGGCUGAAUGAGUUCCCACAACAAUUUCUCCACCACACAUGGGGACCUCAGUUCAAUCCCAGAACCCAUGAUAAAAAAAAAAAAAACAAAAGCAAACAGGCCCAGUGGUGCCCACUAGUAAUCGCGGUGCUGAGAAGGCAAACAGGUAGAUGACUCUCUUGGGGCCACUGGCCAGUGAGCCAGCCCAGACCAAUAAGACUUCCGUAUGCAUAUUUAUGUGCCCCACCCCCCCACACAAAUACAAAGUUGCCAUGCACAAGCAAACUACCUGGGUCAAAUCAGAUGCCAACUCCACCAAUGGAGAGGCAAGCCAGUGACUGCCUGCCCCUCUGUUUCCUACCUACCAAGGAAUGACUGGGCCUCAGACAGUUCGGUAUUUGCAAAGAGAGCCCUUGACAUGCCCCAGCGUGUCACAAGUGGUCAUUUCCCUUUGGCCAUGGGGACUCACCUUUGUACAGGGACCUGUGACCUGACUACUGCAUGCGUGUGACUGUCCCUAGGGGUGUACCUUUCUACUCUCAGCGUGUGUCAUUUUCUGUCGCCCAGAGGCUGGAAGGUGAGUGGAUAAGGGAACACUCACUGGUGCUCACCACAGGAACUACUAGCACCGUGGAGGACUUUCUUCCUUCCCCUCUGCGUCAUACAGACCUGCGUUCCCGGGGACUGCGUUGCAGACUCCACAGUCCCCUGCUUGAGGGGAAGCAGUUCUCCAGGCUGGAAACCUGACCGCUAGGUCUCAGCAGACUUGGCUCCUCCGGGGAGGGGAUCUAGCAGAUUCCAGUCACUGGGAUAAGGUCCACCCGACAACCUCACCUGCCCAUGACUACCUCUUAAAGACGCUCCCUUAAAAUAGGGAUCUGACGUCCUGGGGCUUAGGAUCUCAACAUAUGAAUCUGGGUGUCUGUUGGAAGGACAACUUGCCCAUGACAAAACGCUGUCUUCCUACUGCCAGCUGGCUCACUGCAGCUGGUUAUGUUAUGGGCCCACGUUGCAAAUAUUCGUGAAAACUCGAGGAAAACAACUCUGGCCGGAAGUGCUCGGGAGCCAUGGAAAGAGGGAACAGAAACCUGCUUCUCAUCAAAGCCCAUCAGCACACAUUCUUGUUGGGAAACGCGAAGCUCAAUUAGGAAAGCGGGUGGUGGGGAGGGUCUCCGGGGAGACUGCCUGGAAAAUUCCAGAGCCCGAGUUCCUGGCCUUCAUUUUGUCUCAUUUUUCAGAAAAAAAUGGGCAGGACUUCUCUCUUGAUGACAUGUUCUCGACCAGAUAACGUUUCUUGUUCCUAGCAGAUCAUGCUUCUGCCCACCACCUAGAUAAGAAAUAAGAGGAGGGCAGAGGAAAGAAAAGAGAAAAUUUGCCAGGUGGUGGUGGCACACACCUUUAAUCCCAGCACUUGGGAGGCAGAGACAAGGCGGAUCCCUGAAUUCGAGGCCAGCCUGGUCUGCAGAGUGAGUUCCAGGACAGCCAGGACUACACAGAGAACCCCUGUCUCAAAAAACAAGGAAAAAUAAAAAGUGUGUUUUUCUUGACUUAGCAGCAGCGUGGGGUGGAGGAUGUUCAGGAAUGUGGAGGAGGUCUGUGGAUCUGGGCAGUGGAAGAGGACAUCAAGCAUGCUACUAUAAGGAAAGAGUGUCUGAGGGCCCGGCCGGAAGAAAACACUGGUAUGGAAUCAUCCGGAAAGGUGGCCACCUCACUUACCUCUGCCCCCUGUCUUCCACCCUCAGAGGUCCUGUCAGACUCCCAAAAGGAUGGCUGAGGGACUGAGGGGUGCUUGAUGUCUCUGAGCAUGAUGGCAGAGCUGUGAACCCUGAAGCCCCAUGGCUGGUAAACCUGUGCUGCCCCCUUCCUGUAGCACCAUGGGAAACACAGAGAUUGGGCUUGGCAGGGGGUGAAGGUGGCUAGUCUGGCUGCCCCAGCUUGGGGUAUCUCUAGGAGUCAUAGCUGAAUGUUUCCUUUUUUUGUUUGUUUGUCCCUGCACACCCCUCCCCAUUCAGACAAGGUUUCUCUGUGUAGCCCCGGCUGUCCUGUAAUUCACCCUGUAGACCAGGCUGGUCUCGAACUCAAGAGAUCCUCCAGCCUCUGCUUCCCUAUGCUGGGAGUAAAGGCUUGUGCCAUCACUGUUCGACUAGCUGAGUGUUUUAGACCGGGUAUGGGGUUGAGGGUAUGGGGUGGGGAUGAAAAGCCCGAGUGAACUUCCCUCUGCAGGGUGACAGCCCUGUCCUGUACAAGCUUUCCUGUCCAGGCUCUCCUGCCCGCCCCCCUAGGCAAACUUCACAUUUAGAAGCCUCAGUUACACUGGUGAUGCUUUCAGCUUCUGUUUCCUGAGCCCCAGGAAGACUGAAUGGCUGGACCCUCACCCAGAAUGAGCCAUUUGGUAUGUCCCAGUCCAGUCCCAAGCCCAUCAUUAUGCUGACCCUUAGAUGCCUUGCUGUCAUUGUCCCUAGCCCCCCUCCUUACCCCAAGGCUGCCCACUGAAUAAAAAUGAGGACAUGGCCGCUCCUA